rnacentral:rRNA from 1 species
UACGGAGGGUGCAAGCGUUAAUCGGAAUUACUGGGCGUAAAGCGCACGCAGGUGGCUGAGUCAGUCGAUUGUGAAAGCCCUGGGCUUAACCUGGGAAUUGCAGUCGAUACUACUUAGCUAGAGUAUGGGAGAGGGCAGUGGAAUUCCCGGUGUAGCGGUGAAAUGCGUAGAUAUCCGGAGGAACACCGGUGGCGAAGGCGGCUUCCUGGACCGACACUGACGCUGAGGCGCGAAAGCUAGGGGAGCAAACGGG